UACGAAGGGUGCAAGCGUUACUCGGAAUUACUGGGCGUAAAGCGUGCGUAGGUGGUGAGUCAAGUCUGAUGUGAAAUCCCCGGGCUCAACCUGGGAAUGGCAUUGGAUACUGGCUCGCUAGAGUGCGGUAGAGGGUGGUGGAAUUCCCGGUGUAGCAGUGAAAUGCGUAGAGAUCGGGAGGAACAUCUGUGGCGAAGGCGGCCACCUGGACCAACACUGACACUGAGGCACGAAAGCGUGGGGAGCAAACAGG
rnacentral:rRNA from 1 species